UACUACUACUACUACUACACCUACUACUACUACCACUACUGCUGCUGCUGCUAUAGUACUACUACCACUACUACCAUUUCUGCUGCUACUACUGCACUCACUAUUAAUAGUGCUGCUGUCGCUGUUACCACAGUUACUGCUACAGGUAUUACUGUAACGACUACUACUAUGUUUCUACUGCUGCUACCAGACUGCCUCAGAGCCUCCUGAACCAAAGCAUCACUUCAUCUUCAACACAUCCUUUUCUCCUCCUCAUCAUCAUCAUCAUAUUUUGUGAACUGGGACAUAUUUGGAAUGGGAUUUGUUUUGCCUUUUUGAACAAGGAGAUGCACAAUUGAGAGCAUCCUGUCGGGCUGGUACGGCAACUGCACUGCAUUCAACCUCAAGGCUUCUAGAGGGUGGUGUGGUCUCCACAACGCAUCACCGGGGGCAAACUACCUGCCCUCCAUGACACCUACAGCACCUGAUGUCACAGGAAGGCCAAAAAAAUCAUCAAGGACAACAACCACUGCCUGUUCACCCCACUACCAUCCAGAAGGAGAGGUCAGAGGAAAUGGUAUGAAGCGAGGGCAGAGAGCAGGUCACAUGACUGCUGUAUGUCAGCAUCCACGAGGGUCCUGAGGGAGUCUUGGCAGACACAGCUGUGGUUUGGCCGUCCUCACAGGUGCCUGUCUGACUCUGACACAUCUGACUGGGGUUGGCUGGUUCGCCUCCCGAAUGGCGCAGCAGUCUAAGGCACUGCAGUGCUUGAGGCGUCACUACAGAUCUGGGUUCAAUCCCAGGCUGUGUCGCAGCCGGCCACGACCGGGAGACCCAUGAGGCAACGCACAAUUGGGCCAGCAUCGUCCGGGUUAGGGGAGGGAUUGGCCGGCUGGGAUGUCCUUGUCCCAUCGCUCUCUAGUGACUCCUGUGAGGGCCGGCCACAUGCACUCUGACACGGUCGCCAGUUGUAUGAUAUUUUCUCUGACACAUUGUUGCGGCUGGCUUCCAGGUUAAGCAGGCAGUGUGUCAAGAAGCAGUGCGGCUUGGCAGAGUCAUGUUUCGGAGGACGCAUGACCUUCGCCUCUCCCGAGUCCGUACGGGAGUUGCAGCGAUGUGGCAAGACUGUAACUACCAAUUGGAUAUCACGAAAUUGGGGAGAAAAAGGGGUAAAAAGUUGUCUGGACUUCGCUGAAGACCCGUAGAUCUCUACAUUACUCCCUUUUUGUGUAGACACCUGAGUAUAGAUACCUGAGUUGCCUAACCCGUUCACAGGAUUGGUUAACACUUGAGGUUCCUAGGGUCUCCACCGAGCUAGAUAAAUUUGCUUUUAGUUUUAAUGUACCGUAUUGCUGGAACAAAAUUUAAAAUACAUUUAAUCUCUGUUCUGAUGCCGUUCGGCAAUUUAAAGUAUGGAUUGGAGACUUAUUUGUGGAGGAAUAUAACUGUUUUUCUGUAUGAUUUGUAGUGUUUUAUUUGUGCUUCCCAUGACUGUGUUUAUGUAUUUUAUUGUGUAUAUGUUUGGGUAUAAUGUGUAUAUUUAUGUUGUAUUAUACAAGUCACAUUUGUAAAAGAGACCUAGGUCUCAAUAUGUUUUCCCUGUUCAAAUAAAGGUUCAAUAAAAAAAUGUGACCCAUAUAUUUGCAACACAUGCCACCCCCAAAAACCAACAGACAAAUUACAUUUAUCCAAAUAUCACUUUAUAGUUUUUUUUUAAUCAAUCACAUUGUUUACAGUGGUUUAAAUGUUUACAGAUGAAAGUGUGU